ACGAACGCUGGCGGCGUGCUUAACACCUGCAAGUCGCACGGAAAGGCCCUGCUUUUGUGGGGUGCUCGAGUGGCGAACGGGUGAGUAACACGUGAGUAACCUGCCCUUGACUUUGGGAUAACUUCAGGAAACUGGGGCUAAUACCGGAUAGGAGCUCCUGCUGCAUGGUGGGGGUUGGAAAGUUUCGGCGGUUGGGGAUGGACUCGCGGCUUAUCAGCUUGUUGGUGGGGUAGUGGCUUACCAAGGCCUUGACGGGUAGCCGGCCUGAGAGGGUGACCGGCCACAUUGGGACUGAGAUACGGCCCAGACUCCUACGGGAGGCAGCAGUGGGGAAUAUUGCACAAUGGGCGGAAGCCUGAUGCAGCAACGCCGCGUGCGGGAGGACGGCCUUCGGGUUGUAAACCGCUUUCGCCUGUGACGAAGCGUGAGUGACGGUAAUGGGUAAAGAAGCACCGGCUAACUACGU
rnacentral:rRNA from 1 species